UAGGGAAUCUUCGGCAAUGGGGGGAACCCUGACCGAGCAACGCCGCGUGAGUGAAGAAGGUUUUCGGAUCGUAAAGCUCUGUUGUUAAGGAAGAACGAGUGUGAGAAUGGAAAGUUCAUACUGUGACGGUACUUAACCAGAAAGGGACGGCUAACUACGUGCCAGCAGCCGCGGUAAUACGUAGGUCCCGAGCGUUGUCCGGAUUUAUUGGGCGUAAAGCGAGCGCAGGUGGUUAGAUAAGUCUGAAGUUAAAGGCAGUGGCUCAACCAUUGUAGGCUUUGGAAACUGUUUAACUUGAGUGCAGAAGGGGAGAGUGGAAUUCCAUGUGUAGCGGUGAAAUGCGUAGAUAUAUGGGGGAACACCGGUGGCGAAAGCGGCUCUCUGGUCUGUAACUGACGCUGAGGCUCGAAAGCGUGGGGAGCGAACAGG
rnacentral:rRNA from 1 species